UGGACAGUUCAGUAACCACAAAGUUAUUUUUACAAACAGAAAACUUCAUUAGCCCAUAUUUUUACAGAUCACACACACAACAUUUCACUUUCCGGGUACAAAGUUAGUGGCAAAAGCCCAAGCAUUAUUGGCCACUGGGUCAUUAAUAUGGUCAAAGAGGUUCUCAAUUGGGCCUUUUCCAGUAACAAUAGCCUGAACAAAGAAUCCGAACAUUGAAAACAUAGCCAAUCGUCCGUUCUUGAUUUCCUUAACCUUUAGCUCAGCAAAAGCCUCGGGAUCAUCAGCAAGGCCAAGUGGGUCAAAGGCACCUCCUGGGUAAAUCUUGUCAAGACCUUCACCAAGUGGGCCCCCACCAACCCUAUAUCCUUCAAUCAAGCCCAUUAGGACAACUUGGCAUGCCCAAAUAGCGAGGAUGCUUUGGGCAUGGACAAGGUUUGGGUUGCCGAGGUAGUCAAGUCCACCUUCCGAGAAGAUUUGGGCUCCUGCCUUGAACCAAACAG
rnacentral:lncRNA from 1 species